CACGUAGGGUGCGAGCGUUGUCCGGAAUUAUUGGGCGUAAAGAGCUCGUAGGCGGUGUGUCGCGUCGGCCGUGAAAACCUGCAGCUCAACUGUGGGCUUGCGGUCGAUACGGGCAUCACUGGAGUUCGGCAGGGGAGACUGGAAUUCCUGGUGUAGCGGUGAAAUGCGCAGAUAUCGUAAGGAAGACCAGUGGCGAAGGCGGGUCUCUGGACAGUUCCUGACGCUGAGGAGCGAAAGCCAGGGGAGCAAACAGG
rnacentral:rRNA from 1 species